GAUGAACGCUAGCGGCAGGCCUAAUACAUGCAAGUCGGACGGGAUUUGGGAGCUUGCUCCCAAUGAGAGUGGCGCACGGGUGCGUAACACGUAUGUAACCUACCUUAAUCAGGGGGAUAGCCUCUCAAAAGAGAGAUUAACACCGCAUAACAUAUUUUUAUGGCAUCGUAGAAAUAUCAAAUAUUUAUAGGAUUAAGAUGGGCAUGCGGAACAUUAGCUAGUUGGUAAGGUAACGGCUUACCAAGGCUACGAUGUUUAGGGGAUCUGAGAGGAUGACCCCCCACACUGGGACUGAGACACGGACCAGACUCCUACGGUAGGCAGCAGUAAGGAAUAUUGGUCAAUGGGCGCAAGCCUGAACCAGCCAUGCCGCGUGCAGGAAGACGGCCCUAUGGGUUGUAAACUGCUUUUGUACCGGAAUAAACCCUUUUACGUGUAAAAGGCUGAAUGUACGGUAAGAAUAAGGAUCGGCUAACUCCGUGCCAGCAGCCGCCGUAA
rnacentral:rRNA from 1 species